rnacentral:rRNA from 1 species
GAACCGUACGAACGUUAUUCGGAAUCACUGGGCUUAAAGGGUGCGUAGGCGGCUCGGCAAGUUGGGUGUGAAAUCCCUCGGCUCAACCGAGGAACUGCGCUCAAAACUGCCGAGCUAGAGGGAGACAGAGGUGAGCGGAACUUAGGGUGGAGCGGUGAAAUGCGUUGAUAUCCUAAGGAACACCAGUAGCGAAAGCGGCUCACUGGGUCUCUUCUGACGCUGAGGCACGAAAGCUGGGGGAGCGAACGGGGGAUUAGAUACCCCGGGUAGUCCUAGCUGUAAACGAUGAGCACUGGGUCGGAGGAUCCUCCAUAGUUUUCCCGGCCGUAGCGAAAGUGUUAAGUGCUCCGCCUGGGGAGUAUGGUCGCAAGGCUG